rnacentral:rRNA from 1 species
UCAACUUGAGAGUUUGAUCCUGGCUCAGAACGAACGCUGGCGGCAGGCUUAACACAUGCAAGUCGAGCGCGUGGCAACACGAGCG